CCUAGAGGCUACAGUGGGGAAUAUUGCGCAAUGGGCGAAAGCCUGACGCAGCGACGCCGCGUGAGGGAUGAAGGUCUUCGGAUCGUAAACCUCUGUCAGCAGGGAAGAACGGUCACUGUGCUAAUCAGCAGUGAAUUGACGGUACCUGAAUAAGAAGCCCCGGCUAACUACGUGCCAGCAGCCGCGGUAAUACGUAGGGGGCAAGCGUUAUCCGGAUUUACUGGGUGUAAAGGGAGCGCAGACGGCAAUGCAAGCCUGGAGUGAAAGGCGGGGGCCCAACCCCCGGACUGCUCUGGGAACUGUAUAGCUAGAGUGCAGGAGAGGCAAGUGGAAUUCCUAGUGUAGCGGUGAAAUGCGUAGAUAUUAGGAGGAACACCAGUGGCGAAGGCGGCUUGCUGGACUGUAACUGACGUUGAGGCUCGAAAGCGUGGGGAGCAAACAGGAUUAGAUACCCGUGUAGUC
rnacentral:rRNA from 1 species